UUCAAGUCGUGGUCCAGGACGGUAGUCCACGACUGAGAUCCACGACUGAUUCGAGAAACCUCGGUCCCGUGCUGUCGGCGGCGGCUUCUACUUGUUCCGGCGGCGUGGCUACGGGCUGGAGUUGCUGAUGGAACCCCUGGACCGGUUGUGGCUGGGCAGUGCACCACCAGACAGAACUCCGUGUGCAUUGAGAAUGAGUGCGUUGGAACAGUCUCUUUGGAAAUUCACGGAUGAGCCCAUGAAAAGUGUGAUCAAACCUGAACUUGGCAGAUUGAAAAUUGUACAACAUCAUUUGCAGUCUCUUCGGAUCUGUUGAGAAAGUACCAUUCUCAAAGAGUACUUUGCGGAACAUAUGUGGAAGAUUAGUCAUGAGUAGGCAGAUGAUGAUGUGAGGACAACUUUGGUUGUUUUCGCCCAUAUUGUUGCUGGUGACCCAUACACUACAUGUCGAGUUAUUGAAGCCCGAGCAAGAUCAAGAAUUUGAUGUGGACAAAUGGGAACAGUCACAUGCAGUACCGGUAGUUUGGUGAUGUAGUCACUUUUGACACGACGCACAGGACGAAUCUGUACGGCAUGCCAUUCGGGCAUUUGUUGGGGUGAACAACCAUUUACAGUGCAUUAUUUUGGUAGGGGUUCUAAUGAGGGACAAGCAGAUCGAAAGUUUCAAAUGGGCAUUCACUAAGUUCCUUUCCAUGAUUGGUGGCCGAGCCCCGAAAACAAUCCUCACAGAGCUAUGGAGGUGCCAAUCAGCAACUGUAUCCAGACACUCAAAAAGGCUAAGGAGUGCCUAGGUCCUUUGUACACAAAGAAGAAUGAGUUCAGAUCUGAAUUCCACAAGGUUGUGAACCACAAACUACGAUGAUGAGACGAUGGAUGGCUGCGAUGAACGCGAGGAUAAGGACGUGCAAGUACGUCCGUACGUGGACUCUGCUUAGUCUCUUCUGGUUCAGGCAGUAAGCAGGUCAUUCCGUUGACGCAAUGGUACAGGUUGGACAACUACACU